AUCCUCGCCCAGAACGCGUCGCUAAUCUCGCGAUCGCGCCUCGGCCGUUCCGCGCCUGCCUGCCGCCGCCCGCGAUUGUAGCUCACCCCGACACCGUGCCCCCUCUCCCCUGGCGUGAUGCCCGCCUCCCACCCCCUUCUCCGCACCGCACGGAUCUAGCGCGGGAACUGCUCAGCCACGGCUCCGCACACCCUCCCUUCCCAUGAUACGGAGCUGUCCUAUCCUGCUCGCGAGGCAACGAAAGGGUACGUGAUCCUCUGUCUACAUGGAAGGUGAGGCAGAUCGGGGGGAGAGUGGCUCGUGGCAGUCGCCUCGAUGGCGUCCUUCGCGCCGUCCGGCGAGGUGUCGUCCAAGCACGGCGUCGUCGGCUACGGGAUCGUGGGUGGGCCCAACGGCAACGCCGUCGCGCCCGCUGCCAAGUCCACCGUCGUCGAGACCACCAUCGAGAGGGUUAUCUUCGAUUUUUGGUUCCUGGCGCUCCUCCCCGCCGCUCGGGAACCACUCCACCGCUGAGACCGUCGUAACGAUCGGCUCCGUUGUGGCCCGCCUGUGACCCCGUAUCCGCUUGCGCUCAGCUAGGGUUCAGAUCUAAAAAUGGCUGAUGACGGUGCGAGGAGGGGAAUGCCCGCUGAAGGCUGAAGCUGCCCCCACGGGCUACAGUAGGUGCCAUCGCUCGCCACACCGAACACCCCACUGCCCUCCAGACCGUGCUCCAGGGCCCUACGGCGAUAGGAGGCCACUGAGGAUGGAUCAGUGCGGUACUGCUGCCUUCCGGAGGACGCCGAGCGCCGGAGAGGGGGCUCUUCUAUUGGACUUGGAGCAAGCCCACGGCAACAACGCCGGAAGCAAAAUGGCCUCUUCUCUAGAAGGACAUGAGUUCGAUCCACCGUAAGGAGGCGUGCCCGCCAGGCUCCAUCUUCGGAUCUGAUCGCCCACCAAGUGGGUUGAGUUCGGAUGACGAGAGUUUGCCUGCAACUGAUCUAAAGGUUAGAGCGAGCGGCAUGUGAUGCGGAUAAAUGAAGUCAGCAAGGAAUACUUCUUAAAAACUGUAAGUAAUAUUGUUGGUGAUAAAUUGCUUAAGCAAGCUGCUUCACAAUAUCAAAUGCAGGUAAAUAAUAUUUCCACUUCAUUGUGUUAUAUGUAAACAUAACGUGUCUUGCCACCAUAGCUUUAUAUUUUUGGUGUGAUGCAAUCUUAUUAGUCAUUCUUACCAGCACUUUUUGUUUUGUUUUGUGGGUUAUUUACUCAUGUUUGCUCAGGCACAACGAAGCCCUCAGACAAACCCAAGCAACUAUUCUUUAUCAGGUCAAGUUUCUGGUCAGCAGACUGCUCCCAGUGGUUCUGUGACAGGAGAUGAACAGAAGGGAUAUCCAUGGGCGCACACCAUCCCUAUGAGACAAGCUAUUGCCAGCACUCGACCACCUCAAUUUCGGCCUUCCUCGUCUGGCCAAAUGCGGAGUAAUACGGUACAAACAAUGCAGCAUCACGUGCAGCGACCACAAACAUCUUCACCAGUGUUUGGGGCAAAUAGUAUUCAUGCACGUCCAUUUCUGCGGCCAGUUGGAGGUCCAGCUGCACCAUUUAGACCACAAAUGGCAGAUUCCAAUCCAAGAGCACACUUGAUUCAGGGAGCUGUGACCACAAUAUCUAGGAGUGUGCCAAAACGAUCCAUAGUGUCUGGAAAUGCGCCAGUCAAUCAAGCCUUGGGAUCUUCAAAAGUCAGUGCUGGCAUGGAAAGCCAGUCACAACAAUUGAGUGCGCCUAAGCCUUUAGCUGCAACAAGCUUAAGUCAGACUCAAUCUCAUGGCAUUCAAGAAGAGCCUAAAAUUCAGGGGAAGAAACAACUAUUAUUCGAGAGUUUGCCUGCAACCGAUCUAAAGGUUAGAGCGAGCGGCAUGUGAUGCGGAUUACGAACUGAACUUAAAUCAAAUACUUCAGUAUUGGUCUCUAGAGAGGAAGCUCUGCCAACCAUUAUUAAUAACUGAGAAGAUGUUCGCGUACAGGGAGACGGUGUUGGAGGAGGCACAUCAGGGCAUGGAGCUACAUGAGCACUGCCGCCAUAUAGUUGACAACGAUGACCAACACUGUAGAUUCCAUUCUCUGUGUGUACACCAAGCGAUGCGCUUUUCACGGUUACUGCGACCGUGAUGGGCAUCUAGGUGCUCAAACCAUCAGUUGGGCUGAGGAACACUGAGCAGCAACAACAAUAUCGUAAGGAGAGUGCAUAUGUUGGACAAAUGGUAUGCCAUAUCUUCAGUUCUCUUAUGAUGCUUCAGCGCUGCAUCUUCAGUUUUCUCGGCUAAAAAGAGAUCAUAGUCAAUAGUAUACCUAUGUGUGAAAUACUGUCAAACUUGGUAUAUGGACCUCAGAAAGUAUAGGAAAGCGCUAUGCUAUUU